GGUGGGUUUAAAGGUCACGCAGGAAGGCUGUCCUCCACAGACAAGCAAGCAAGCGUCUCACUCAGCGCCCAGUCCCAUUUGGAGCAGUGUGUGGCUGUGCACAGAGGACUGAGAUGAUGCCGUUGCAACUUGCAUUAGGAAUUCUAUGGCCUGGUUCUCUCCAGUCACUGCCUGCUGACAAUACGUGAUGCAGAUGUACAGCCAGCAUGCAUUGCUGCAGAAAGUCUCCUCCAAAACUGCAUGAAGUUUAAUAAAUAGACCUGCAGGAAGUCCUAGGUACUUGCAGUCUAUGUUCUAUAGGACAAGGCUGCUGCUGUUGUUCAUGUCCAAGAAAAAGGCUGUGUUUGAAAAAGUACAGAAGCUGAUCACUUGUAGGACUCGGUGCUGCGCACAGAAAGUGCUCUGUUGAAACCUGACCUGUUACUCGCUGAGAGUUGUGGUUCUGCCUCUUUGCAAUGGCCCAGUCUUAUGGAUAACGGUCUGUAACUGAAGCUUAUGGCAAGACGUGAACAUGUGAUCUUUGAUAGAGUAUAAAACCCAUGGGAGAGUUUACACUUGGUGCCCACGCUAUUGGGUACAGCUGCUUGUUAUUGUAAUGUUUAAUCGUCCAAUGACUAGUAUGUGACAGCAUUUCAUUGCAAAUAUCCAGUGAUGAGGUUCAGACCAAUCCCCAGAAUGGGUAAGAAAUGUGAUCUCAGUGACUUUGUCGGUGGAACGAUUAUUGGUUCCAGACGGUGUGGUCGGAGUAUCUCAGAAACUGCUGAUCUCCUGUCAUUUUUAAUGCACAAUAGUCUAUAGAAUUUAUAAAGCCGAGAACUGGUUAACAAUAGUGGUCAGAAGAGAAUGGACAGUGGAUGAAGUUGUCGGAAGGUGACCGGGUCUGAAAUAAGUGUGCAUUACAGCAGCGGUAUGCAGAGGAGCAUCUCUGAACACACAGCACGUCCAGCCUUGAAGUUGAUGUGCUAUGGCAGCAGAAGAAGGAACAUAAGGUUCCGCGGGACACUGAGGCUACAGAGAGACAGAGGGGUCACAUGUUGGGAUGUGCAGUAAUGUCUGCUGGGUCUCCCACACUCCUGGCAGCUUUCAGUGCUCGGCCACAUUGGAGAGGGAAGGUGCAGCUUCUGCAUAAUGUAGCAUGGUUGUGUAGGACCAUACUCUCAGCAUGCCUUCCUGAUACUCUUCUAGGGUUUAUUCCUUUAAUGUAAGAUUUCCUCCAGCCCAUCUGUAAUGGUGUAAUUUGUUGUGCUUAGAAAAUAAAACUGUAUUGCGCACAUU